GGGGCUGUAGCUCAGUUGGGAGAGCGCAUCGUUCGCAAUGAUGAGGUCAGGGGUUCGAUCCCCCUCAGCUCCACCA
rnacentral:tRNA from 18 species